UGCGAGCGUUACCUGGAUUUAUUGGGUUUAAAGGGAGCGUAGGUGGACAGUUAAGUCAGUUGUGAAAGUUUGCGGCUCAACCGUAAAAUUGCAGUUGAUACUGGCAUCCUUGAGUACAGUAGAGGUAGGCGGAAUUCGUGGUGUAGCGGUGAAAUGCUUAGAUAUCACGAAGAACUCCGAUUGCGAAGGCAGCUCACUGGACUGUUGACUGACACUGAGGCUCGAAAGUGUGGGUAUCAAACAG
rnacentral:rRNA from 1 species